CUUUGAAGCUGCUGAAGCUCUGCAGAUGAUACAAAGCUGGGCGGGAGUGGCUAAUACACCUGAAGGCUGUGCUGCCAUUCAGCAGGACCUUGAUAGGCUGGAGA